ensembl:ncRNA lncRNA:CR44859 long non-coding RNA:CR44859
AAAUUUGGGUCAAAUAUAAGAAUAAAUAAUUACAUCCUGGUCAAAAGCAUUCGAAAAAGAGAAAUGAUGGAUAUUUAAGGAUAUCCUUGACCUUUGGCUUGAAAAUCUGACUUCGGACAGUCAGAGGUGCUUUUGUGGCCACAAAUGCUGACACCCACGGCUCUUACACCCACACCCAUUGAAAUGGCCAGACGUCUACAUUCCUUUGAAGCUCCAUUAUCGCUGCACGUCAUCGCAGAUGAAAGGAAGUGCGGGGAAUGCCCCCUUCGCCACUGCCCGUCGUCACUUGUCUGAUAUAUCACCUGUACUUCGUACCAGCAGGAACCACAACCAAGCAACCACAUCGAGUGCCUUUCCAGACAGAACAAACCAAAUUGGAACAAUGCUUGCUGGCCAAGAACUCGCGAUCCGGGCCCUCAGACAAUUGUCACACUUCAGACUCGGAUUCGAAUUCAGAUUCAGAUUCGGACUGAGCCUCAAAGUCAGCGAGCUUGAGGCUUUUGGCGCUGGCGUCUUUUGGGCCGAAUCAAAUGCAUUAAUCCAAUUUACGCAUGCCGGCUCCAGACGCAGCCUGAGGUUCACGGUUCUGGGCGUACACUGU